AUGCCCAGUGAUUAUAAAAAGACGCGUUAUUCUGAGGAACACAACCUGCUGCCAGUCUUUCUUCUACCUUUUACUCUGUCUUUGAGCUCUAUCUUUCCUAUCCUUCCUCCACUCUUUUCUUCAAACUGGUAGCUGGUCCGCUGACUGCGAUUAUGAGAUAUGAGGGCAU